AAGGCGUUUUGUUUUCAUUGUGGCUGUUCUUGUCUGAAUGAAGCUCCAGCUGCAGGUUCAGAGGUUCCUGCCUCAGUGACAGUCAUCUUCUGUCCCCCAGGAACCUUGAAUGAUCUGACUGUUGACUGCAUCAAACUCUGAUGUUUACAAGACCCAACGAUCGUGGUCUGUGGACUGGGAAUGGGACCCCAAUCAUCGGUCAAUGAUGAUCUACCACUGUGCUAUAAAGAUGGGCGUUUCAGUUUUAGACUCUUAUGGGGAAUAUGCAGCCACCCUCAAGUGGACACUCUGGGUACUGCAUUCUCAGCACUUUUGCCUUUGCUUCACUGUUCCACACCGGAGGUUACUGCUCAGUAGUUUCACCUUGAAGCCAAUUUCCAUUUUAAUAUCUGCUGACAGUUAAACUGAAAGGACGUGUCAGACACACACCUGAACUCCACAGGUGGACCGUUCUGACCGGACUGCUGUGUUAAAAAUGUGCUGUAUAUGACCGCAAGGAUUUAGCUAUAUGAUGACAGUAACAGACCUGCUCUGAUAUCUUUGUCUCCACAUUAAGUCAAGUGUCGCUUUCUGCUUGUGAUCAGCUGUUUCUGUAUUAUCUGCAAAACAACAAACGUUUUAAUAUCAAACUCCUGCUCAGCUCUGGACUCUGCUGUUUGUGUUGUGAUUAAAAUCGUCAUAGUAACGGGUCAAAGGGUGUUUAAUCAUGUUUAUAAGAUUAUGAUAUCAUAGCAGAAUCAGAUUAGAAUAUCUUUUCAUACAUUUAAAACACAUAAUCACAGCAGAGACACAGAAAACUUUCAUUAUGUGACGAACUAUCAAUAUAAAAUUUGUCAUUAAAUAUAUUUAAAACAAAAGUAUUGGGUAAAAACUGUUAUGUUGUGUUUAUGUAUAAAUAUUAAGUGAAGAAAACUCUUAUUUUAAUGAACUGUAUGUGUCAAAAGGCCUCUAAAUAUUAUGUUUAUGCAUGCUGGUGAGAAGCCUGAUAACUUUAUUACACUUAAAAAAAGUUCAAUUAACUGAAGAGAUCCAUAACGAGUCAAGAUAAAACUGAUUUCUUUGCUUUUUUUUGGUUUGUUUUUUACAAAAGAUGAAUUUUACUGUCAGUGUAAAGUGUCCUUGUUUCCACGUGAAUAAAUCUGUUAUUAAAUUGCUGUGGCAACAGUU